UNCCCCGCCUGGGGAGUACGACCGCNAAGGUUGAAACUCAAAGGAAUUGACGGGGGCCCGCACAAGCGGUGGAGUAUGUGGUUUAAUUCGACGCAACGCGAANNNCCUUACCAGGUCUUGACAUUGAUGGACAGAACCAGAGAUGGUUCCUCUUNUUCGGAAGCCAGAAAACAGGUGGUGCACGGUUGUCGUCAGCUCGUGUCGUGAGAUGUUGGGUUAAGUCCCGCAACGAGNGCNACCCCUAUCUUAUGUUGCCAGCACGUAAUGGUGGGAACUCAUGAGAGACUGCCGCAGACAAUGCGGAGGAAGGCGGGGAUGACGUCAAAUCAUCAUGCCCCUUAUGACCUGGGCUACACACGUACUACAAUGGGAGUUAAUAGACGGAAGCGAGAUCGCGAGAUGGAGCAAACCCGAGAAACACUCUCUCAGUUCGGAUCGUAGGCUGCAACUCGCNU
rnacentral:rRNA from 1 species